rnacentral:misc_RNA from 1 species
CACAACUAUGAAGGUGGGCUGGCAACAGUACUCUGCGAAUACUUUCAACCAUCUUUGCGGACUUUGCUUUCCUGGCGAGUUCGCUCGCCACAGGACCCCCACAUAAACCUUCUGUUUGCAAUCAGCGUCAGUACAAUAAUUGAAUUAUAC